AAGACCAUACUUUCCUGUAUCAUUUCUGAGUUCAUUACUAGAGAAGUUUCUCCAUUUGUGUAUAGCACCGAAACCCAUGAGGAAGAGCCAGAGCAUAUUUUCUGGAGCAUCAAGCCAGUUCUAGGUGUUGGUUUAGCAACUGCCUUUUAACAUUGAUGAUCAUUUUUUUCUUCCUCUGGAAGAGGGAGAAGGAGAGGAUGUAGCCUGAGUGGU